rnacentral:rRNA from 1 species
GCCUACGGGGGGCAGCAGUAGGGAAUUUUCGUCAAUGGGCGCAAGCCUGAACGAGCAAUGCCGCGUGAACGAGGAAGGUCUUCGGAUCGUAAAGUUCUGUUGAAGGGGAAAAAGAGCGGAGAGGGGAAAUGCUUUCUGAUUGAUAUUACCCUUCGAGGAAGUCACGGCUAACUACGUGCCAGCAGCCGCGGUAAUACGUAGGUGGCGAGCGUUAUCCGGAAUGAUUGGGCGUAAAGGGUGCGUAGGCGGCCUGCUAAGUCUGGAGUGAAAGGUACCGGCUCAACCGGUACAGGCUCUGGAAACUG